CCUAAUUUAGUAUCAUCUGCAAACUUGGCAUUUGAGUCCUGGGUCCAGGUCAUUUAUGAAAACGUUAAAGAGAACUGGCCCUAAAAUGGAUCCCUGGGGAACUGCACUAGUGGCUGGCUGCCAGCCUUUGAGCCUGACCCAUCAGUUGGUUGUUCCCCCACCAUUUCAUGAGUUUGUCAUACUGUAAGCAACGGUAUUGAAAACUUUGCUGAAAUCUUAAAAGAUUACAUCAACUGGCUUCCCUUGGUCAACUAGGUUGGCAACCUUGUCACAAAAGGAAAUGAAGUGUGUUAAACAGGCCUUCCCUCUCAUGAACCCAUGUUGAAUGUGACCAAUGACUGUGUUGUCUUUCCAGUGUUUUUCAGUAACCCGCAGGACGAUCUUCUCCGUAAUUUUUCCAAGCACUGAAGCGAGACCGAGGGGCCUGUAAUUAUAAGGCUCUUCUUUCUUUCCUAUCUUGAAAACUGGUACAACAUUUGCCAGCUUCCCGUCAACUGAUCCCUAGGACCUCCUGGCGCUUUAUCUCCUGCAGCAGCACCGAGAUUAAAACCCCUCUCAGGGCCACCUCGCUGCGAGGCGCCGCAGCCAGCCCCCAGGGCGCCAUUUCGCGCUCCCCGCCCUGCCGGCUGGCGGCGCCAUUUGCUGCCCCCGCGCCCCCUCCCCAAAAUGGAGGCGCGGCGUCUCUCCCUCACAGCAGGGGGGAGCCUCCCUGCGGGCACGGAGUGGGACCAGCCCCGCAUCCCCCGCCGCCCGCAGGUGAGGUUCCUCCCAGCUCGGCAGUCGGGAUGGUGCGGGGAGGGCUCUGCGCGGCCACCCUGCGCGGAGAGCCGGGCUGUGCGAGGCGGGGGCGGGCAGCACGGUACCGCACCGCACCGCCGGCACCGCACCGCCCCGGCUCUUCGGCGCCGCCUCCAGCCGCGGGGCCGCGCACCCGCGGCAGGGACGGGGCCGCGGAGGCCCCGCCGGCAGGUAGGUCGGGGCUGCGGCCCCCGAGCGGCGAGAGCCGGCCGGCCUGAAGGGCCGCAGCGGGACAGUGCUAGAGCAAAACAGAAGUAAGUCUGUUACAUGAGUGAAGGACAGAUUCAGCUGGAGUAUCCAUCUCAUGGCCUUACUGAUUUUUAACUGUUGGGAUCUCAUGACUGGCCUUCUAUGUGAUUUUAAUGUCUCAUUUGUGUGCUGAAGUGUGCACGAACAGUACAGUAUGAUGAGGAAGGUAAGAGGAGCAUUAUACGUAUAUAUCCAAGCUCUUGAAAUUCUGAGUGUUUACUGUCUUAACUGUUGAAGGAAGCAUUUGGUUUCUGGUGGUUGCGUUCUCUUUGUGGGUCAGAAGCUAUGCACUGAAUUACGGCUCUGUGUGUGUUUUGUUUGAGCGUGAUCCUAAUACUGGGAAACAUAAGCUGGUUUUGCAGUGAGUGGAAGCUCCUCCAUCAUGUAGGAAUUAAACACAAAUGGAUGUGUUGCCACAGAGCAGCAUGGAAGGACAGUACCUUUGUGCAUGCAGAGUAUCCUCAUGCUGUGAACACUGUAGGGAUAAGGUGUGUAGUGCAAAGCCUGGCAUUUUGCUGCUUUGGUAACUUUUAUUAAUACAAACCAUAUGUAUAUUUGUUUAUAUAUAUGUUUGUUUUUUUUACAAGUACUUAUGUUUCUGAACCAAGGCAAGUGAUGUUGCAAAAGUCUGGAUCAUUUGCAUUAGAAAAAGGUAUCUAGUAUUUCAGCUCCUACAAAUACAUUUUUGCGUGUGUGUGAACCAGGUAGCAGAGGACAUACAGAACAUGCAGAGCAAUGUUCAUAAAGCAAAGCUCUUCCCCUUUGUUUGAAUCCCUUUUAGCUAAGGGUACAGGGAUAGUACACUUGCUCCUUCGGAGAAGUAAUAUAACCUGUGCCUUGGGCUGGCAUUCCCACCUGGAGUUCAUGGUUUUUCCUAGUGUUGCUAGAAGUUACUUAGAUGACUCAGUCUCCCCUUCCAGGAUAUGGAAAUCACUACUUGUCUCCUUUUAGUGGCAGCAAAGUUCACCUUACUUAGGAAAAAAAGUUGUAAAAUAAGCAAAAUUUUUCU
rnacentral:lncRNA from 1 species